rnacentral:lncRNA from 1 species
AGAUUCUAUAAGCCCACUUGCUUUGACAAUUAUGAUUGACUUGUAUGGAAUUUUUACAUGAGACCGGUGUCACUGGAAAGGCUAUCUCAUUAGUUUUCCAUACACAUGUAAUCUGGACGCCAAUUUAGUGCUAGCUGCUAGUAGAGUCUGAUGUAGACUCAAACUUGGUAUGGACUAAGCGUUCAACAUGGCUUAGAUGCCCACGACUGGUCCUCUAAGGAGGUGGCCAAGGGGUAGGAUGUAUAAAAAGUUACAUGGGGCGUUCUCCAUCUAAUUGGGGUGUUUUUCAAUUUGAAAAAGUCUAUAUAACCCCCAAACUAUCUAGGGUGGACUACUUCACCCCCUGAACUAUAAAACCAGAUUUUCUACCCCCUGAACUUUUAAAACCGGUCAAAUAACCCCUUGGAGUGGUUCUGGAUGGUGGUUUUGUCUUUUAUUUAUUUAUUUCCGCUAAAUCUUUAAAAAAUCAUAAAAAAUCAUAAAAAAUCAUAAAAUAAAAAAAUUCAAUUUUGUUGGACUCCUGAUGAGUAGACCUACAC